AGUGAACGCUGGCGGUAGGCCUAACACAUGCAAGUCGAACGGCAGCACAGUAAGAGCUUGCUCUUACGGGUGGCGAGUGGCGGACGGGUGAGGAAUACAUCGGAAUCUACUUUUUCGUGGGGGAUAACGUAGGGAAACUUACGCUAAUACCGCAUACGACCUACGGGUGAAAGCAGGGGAUCUUCGGACCUUGCGCGAUUGAAUGACCCGGUGUCGGAUUAGCUAGUUGGCGGGGUAAAGGCCCACCAAGGCGACGAUCCGUAGCUGGUCUGAGAGGAUGAUCAGCCACACUGGAACUGAGACGCGGUCCAGACUCCUACGGGAGGCAGCGGUGGGGAAGAUUGGACAAUGGGCGCAAGCCUGAUCCAGCCAUACCGCGUGGGUGAAGAAGGCCUUCGGGUUGUAAAGCCCUUUUGUUGGGAAAGAAAAGCAGCAGGUUAAUACCCCGCUGUUCUGACGGUACCCAAAGAAUAAGCACCGGCUAACUUCGUG
rnacentral:rRNA from 1 species